rnacentral:rRNA from 1 species
GAGGGGGUAAGGCUCCCGGGAGACGACCGGGUUGAUAGGCCGGAGAUGGAAGCUCCGUGAGGGGUGGAGUUGACCGGUACUAAUAGGCCGAGGGCUUGACCG